UGCUCACUGUAUGAUUCUUAACCUAUGUCUG
rnacentral:piRNA from 1 species